AUGUCCCGCAAGCAGGCGGCCAAGGCCCGGCCUGCCGCCGGAGCCAGGAAGGCGCGGCGGUCCCGGCAGUCCCCCACCGGACCGGCUCCAGGCCCCGGCUCCGGCGGCGGGGGCCUCGCCAGGCAGCUCCGCGCCCUCGGCCUCAAGCUGCGGGAGGUGCCGGGCGAUGGCAAUUGUUUGUUUCGGGCCCUUGGUGACCAGCUUGAGGGGCACUCACGGAACCACCUCAGACAUCGCCAGGAAACGGUGGAUUACAUGAUAAAGCAACGGGAGGAUUUUGAGCCUUUUGUGGAAGAUGAUGUGCCAUUUGAGAAACACGUUACCAAUUUGGCAAAGCCUGGUACCUUUGCUGGCAACGAUGCUAUUGUGGCCUUUGCAAGGAACAAUCAAAUGAAUGUGGUUAUUCAUCAGCUUAAUGCUCCGCUGUGGCAGAUUCGGGGCACAGACAAAAACAAUGUGAGGGAACUUCAUAUUGCCUAUCGUUAUGGAGAGCACUAUGACAGUGUGAGGAGAAUCAAUGACGAUUCUGAAGCUCCAGCAUAUCUUCAGAUGGAGAUGCUUUGCAAAAAUGAUUUGAGUAAGGAGGAGGAAGUGAAGCCACAGAAGGGUGACUCUGAAGAUGAGAUUGAAGUUGAAAUGGAAGAUGCUAUACAAAAAGUGUGUAAUGCGACUGGAUGUUCAGACAUUGAUUUAGUAAGCCACAUUCUGGAAGUGGAAGACUACAAUAUAGAAUCGGCAAUAUUUGCCAUCUUCCAAGUGAAUGAAGUGGAAAGAAUCAGUGCUGAGGAGCAGUGUGAUCCCCAGAGCAAAGAUCAGAAAUCAUGUAGCAGAACUCUGCGGGAAGAAAAUGGAAGUGGUUCAAGAAUCUUUGGAAAUCAGAGCUUGCAUCAAAGUGAAAUAGAAAACAACAAAGAACAGGCUAGAUCUGGUGAAGAGAAUCGAGCUAGCAGAAACCCAAAGGUAUCUAAAAAACAAAAGAAGGAACAGCAGCGGCUAGAGAAGAAGAAGCGGCAGGAAGAAAGGCACCGACAAAAGGUCUUAGCCAACAAGAGUAACUGUGCAGAUAGCAGCAGGAGAGAGACGGACUCAAACAACCACGUCACCUUGGUGAAGGCCAUGGCAGCUCUAAACAUAUGACUGAAUGUGUUCCGAGUGCUCUGAGCUGAUAGGAGGAUUAUCGUUCCUUUGAGCCUGGGGAGCUGUGAAGGGAGUUGUCCUGCAGCCAGCAGACGGGAAGCUGAGCUUCUGUAGGUGUGAAGGGAGCUGCAAAACCGAACCUCAUCCCGUCCAGGGGAAUCCUUAUGCAGCGUUCCUCAGGGAACUCAAUUUUAUGCAGAGAAUUUGCUUUGUAAACAGGUCGUGGAUUUUCCUUGCAGGAGGAAGGGAGGCAAGAAACAAGAGAAGAGAAACAUCAUGAUUCAUAGCUCAUGUUUACUCUUUGGUGGAGCUAACUGUGCUUCGUAAUAUGUGGUCAUAGGACAAUAAGCCCUGCACGUUCCCUUGGUAUUUGAGGAGGAUCGCUGUUUGCUCCUAGCAGCUAGCUUACAUCUUGGAGGGUCACAAGUGGGCAGAGGGUCAGGAGUGUGCUCUGACUGCUGCUGGGCUGGCGGGGUCACUGUCAGCCCCUCGAAGGGGAGUACGCGUCAGAGCGGUGUAGAAAGCUGCUUUCCCUGCAUCCUAUCUACCACCGUCGUCUUCCCCAGACUUAUUUUUUUCAAAAUCCUGCACCUGCAGGUAAGGAGUUCAGCUGAACUGGAAGUUUUAAGCAUUUAGCCAGGUCCUGAUGUCCGUGAGCGUGUGUUGGCCUCGCUAUGUAUAGGAGGGCUUUUCUGCUUGCGCUACUCAGCUUCUGGUGUACCUCGCUCCUUCUUGGAGGGCUGCCUUUUGCUUUAUUUAACAGCUUCGCCUCAUCCGCAGUGCCUGAACAGCAGCAGAAGUCGCAUUGUCUGCAGUAUCCACAUCUGCAGUGCUCUCGGAAGGCACCUUCCUUCUCUGUUGGAGUUGGUUAAAACUACACAAGACUUUUCUUCUCCUUUCCCCCUCUGGACUCUCAGCGGAGCACCUGCUUCCGUUACCAAACAAAACCUCCUCUGGUUUUCCGAUGCUGAAUGCAAUAAAGGUUGCAA